ACGCCGUGAUGAAACACUUUGAUGCCAUCUGAUUGCAUCCGUGUGGAAAUCCAGAGGCUGUUUCUGAGCGA
rnacentral:snoRNA from 1 species